rnacentral:rRNA from 1 species
GAUCCUGGCUCAGGAUGAACGCUAGCUACAGGCUUAACACAUGCAAGUCGAGGGGCAGCAUUUUAGUUUGCUUGCAAACUGAAGAUGGCGACCGGCGCACGGGUGAGUAACACGUAUCCAACCUGCCGAUAACUCCGGGAUAGCCUUUCGAAAGAAAGAUUAAUACCGGAUAGUAUACGAAUAUCGCAUGAUAUUUUUAUUUAAAGAAAUUUCGGUUAUCGAUGGGGAGUGCGUUCCAUUAGUUUGUUUGGG